GUCCAGGGGUGGGAAUCGAACCCACAAUGUUCCGCUUACCGGGCAGAUGCCAUGUCCACUAGGCUACCCUGGA
rnacentral:tRNA from 1 species